GCCGCUGUAGCUCAGCCUGGUUAGAGCGCCGGCCUUGUAAGGGUAAAGGACAGGACAGCCGGCGGUCCGGGGUUCAAAUCCCCGCAGCGGCU
rfam:Sulfolobus tokodaii str. 7 DNA, complete genome.